UACAUUUUGUCCAUAAUGACUGUUUUAGUCAAAAUAUUCUAUUAAUGUACUUUGAAGUGAGAAGAUAUUUUGUCAGAGUUUUGUAAUUUUUUUUUUUUUUUUUUUUUUUUUGGCUUAUAUGAAAUAUGAGGGCAAAUAGUUCAUGGCAAUAACACUACUUCACCUAUCACUCUGGAUGAGAUGUUUGUGCAUUGUCGAGCAGUGGCACACGGUGACAAGCGGCCCGCUACAUAUCAGGGAUUAUGGCAUAAUCUUCAUUGAUGGUUAACCGGAUGAUUAGUUCUUAACUACAACAUGUUUUGAUUGUUGAAUUUGUUUUUUCGUUUUUGUUGCUUUCGAUUAGAACGGAUGAGAUGUUUGUGCACUAUCGAGCAGUGGCACACGAUGACAAGCGGCCCGCUGCAUAUCAGGGAUUAUGGCAUAAUCUUCAUUGAUGGUUAACCGGAUGAUUAGUUCUUAACUACAACAUGUUUUGAUUGUUGAUUUUGUUUUUUCGUUUUUGUUGCUUUCGAUUAGAACGGAUGAGAUGUUUGUGCAUUGUCGAGCAGUGGCACACGGUGACAAGCGGCCCGUUGCAUAUCAGAGAUUAUGGCAUAAUCUUCAUUGAUGGUUAACCGGAUG
rnacentral:lncRNA from 1 species